UAGAGCUUGAACCACUCUGGGUAAGCUGACAAAAUAAGAUUCUGGUGUUGAGAAGCUAAGUAUGUGACCAUGAUAUUAA
ensembl:misc_RNA